UAUUACGUUCAUGACAGUUAAAAUGUCGUAAAUUUGUUUACUUUUAUUAUAGAGUAUACUCAACUUGGCAGUUAUACAAGCUCAAAAUGCCAGCUCAACCUUUUACACUGCGAACGGGACAGCGAGUUUGUUACCGAAUUAGUGUAGGAGAUGGUGUACAUAAUAAUAAGAAAAUAUUGUACAUUCGAAUGAGUGUAUGUUCAUUGAGUUGCUGUAAACUUGGCAAAAGGUGUGUGCCUCUCAGAGGUCGGACAUUUUGAGAGAAUCAUCCGUUCUUUGAACUUGUUUAAAAUAUAUGUUAUUUGGCGAGCUCAUUU